UACGUAGGGGGCAAGCGUUGUCCGGAUUCAUUGGGCGUAAAGAGCGUGUAGGCGGCCAGGUAGGUCGGUUGUGAAAACUGGAGGCUCAACCUUCAGAGGUCGACCGAAACCAUCUGGCUAGAGUCCGGGAGAGGAGAGUGGAAUUCCUGGUGUAGCGGUGGAAUGCGCAGAUAUCAGGAAGAACACCCGUGGCGAAGGCGGCUCUCUGGGACGGUACUGACGCUGAGACGCGAAAGCGUGGGGAGCGAACAGG
rnacentral:rRNA from 1 species